GCUGGGCAUGGUGUGCGUGCCUGUAAUCCCAGCUACUUGGGAGGCAGAGGCAGGAGAAUCGCUUGAACCCAGGAGGCAGAGGUUGCAGUGAGCCGAGAUCACGCCACUGUACUCCAGCCUGGGCAACAGAGCGAGACUCUGUCUCAA
rnacentral:SRP_RNA from 1 species